rnacentral:rRNA from 1 species
CAGCCGCCGCGGUAAUACCGGAGCCCCGAGUGGUGACCGUUUUUAUUGGGUCUAAAGCGUCCGUAGCCGGAUUAUUAAGUUCUCAGUGAAAUUGUUAGGCUUAACCUAACGAAUGGCCUUGAAUACUGGUAAUCUAGGGAUCGGGAGAGGCCAAGAGUAUGCCUAGGGGAGGGGUAAAAUCCUUUAAUCCUAGGCAGACUACCAAUGGCGAAGGCACUUGGCUAGAACGAGUCCGACGGUGAGGGACGAAAGUUAGGGUAGCAAACGGGAUUAGAUACCCCGGUAGUCCUAACCGUAAACGCUGCCCGUUGGGUGUCGCAAACUCUUCGUGUUUUUGCGGUGCCGUAGCGAAGGCGAUAAACGGGCCACCUGGGGAGUACGGUCGCAAGGCUGAAACUUAAAGGAAUUGGCGGGGGAGUACACAAGAGGGGGGACUUGCGGUUUAAUUGGAUUUAACGCCGGAAAUCUCACCAAGGGCGACAGCAGUAUGAAGGACAGAUUAAAGGUCUUUCCUGACGCGCUGAGAGGUGGUGCAUGGCC